CUGUAAAUCUCUGUCUCUCCCUGCUGUUUUCACUGCUUUCAGGCGAGCUUAGUCCCUAAAAUCACACAAAUAUCAUAUACAACUGUUCCAGACACGUUCUUACAUGUAACUGACACGUUUCUGUUGAAUAUUUACUUCACAGAAAACUUCGAAAAAGUCCGUAAGCAUCUCAACUGUUUUCAGGCGAGGAGUGAAAAGAAUCUCUCUACAACAGAAGAUAAGCUGCAAAAUUUCAAAGUUUCUGAAGGGAGCUGCUGUCAGAAAUGCAGGAAACACAGAUUCUUCUAUGCUGAUGGCCGUGCAGCAGACUUGGAGCAGACCUCCUGUCGGACAACAUCUCUAAGGCGCAAUGAACUAUAUGACUUGAUUCUAUGUACCCAGCCUCAACCAUUCAUCAAAAGGACUGUGAAAGCGGGAACUCUUUGACCCACCAGUGGCAGUUUCCACAGGAAGAAAAAGGGCAUACUAGUGGAUGAUGGGGGUAUAGACAUUAACAUGUAUUCACUGUAUUACACACUAAGGAUGGGCAUUUCUGUAAAUUUUUCAUUUUAAGUACUGGUGGUUUUGAUUUUGUCUGGAUGGCAUUCUGUCCUAACACUAACUAGUCAGAGCUCAGGUACCACCCAAAAUGCUGCCAUAACCAAUCAGAAAAAGAGAAAUAUAUAAAGUCAGGUGAUCAUCGAGAACUCAGACUUGACAGCGAUGAUUGAUCAUGAAAACGAUGAUUGCAGUGACUUUAAAAAAAUAAUCAAUCAUUGCUGUCAAGUCUGAGAACUCUAGUACUUGUGCACAUCCCUAUUAAACACAUAUACACAGUAUUGAGGUAUGAUGUAUACUGUAAAUGCAAUAAACAUUUUAAUCAUACAUCUUAUCAAGUCUUGUUACUUCUGGAUUUUCUUUUUUUAUUAUUAUUAUUUUAUGAACAAUCCUAUUAAAGAAAAUUUAUAGUAUGAUAAAUGUAAGGAUAUUGAUCUGGAAGAAUUGGGGCCAUAAAGAACCUAUUCAUCAGUGGUUCUUUGAAGAACCUUUAAAAAGGGUUCUUUGUAGUGCCAGAAAAUGUGCUUUAUGGCACCAAGAAAAACACCGGUUCUUUAAAGAACCUUUCACAAAAUGGUUCUUCAGGGAACUAAAAAUGGUUCCUCUAUACGGCAU